CGGACGGGUGAGUAACGCGUGAGAAUCUACCUAUAGGUUCGGGACAACAGUUAGAAAUGACUGCUAAUACCGGAUAUGCCGAGAGGUGAAAGCUUUAGUGCCUGUAGAUGAGCUUGCGUCCGAUUAGCUAGAUGGAGUGGUAACGGCACACCAUGGCGACGAUCGGUAGCUGGUCUGAGAGGAUGACCAGUCACACUGGAACUGAGACACGGUCCAGGCUCCUACGGGAGGCAGCAGUGGGGAAUUUUCCGCAAUGGGCGAAAGCCUGACGGAGCAAUACCGCGUGAGGGACGAAGGUCUGUGGAUUGUAAACCUCUUUUGUUAGGGAAGAUAAUGACGGUACCUAACGAAUAAGCAUCGGCUAACUCCGUGCCAGCAGCCGCGGUAAGACGGAGGAUGCAAGCGUUAUCCGGAAUUAUUGGGCGUAAAGCGUACGUAGGCUGUUAGAUAAGUCUGUUGUCAAAGCGCGAGGCUCAACCUUGUAAAGGCAAUGGAAACUGUUUGACUAGAGAGAGAUAGGGGCAGGAGGAAUUCCAGGUGUAGCGGUGAAAUGCGUAGAUAUCUGGAAGAACACCAGUGGCGAAAGCGUCCUGCUGGAUCUCAACUGACGCUGAAGUACGAAAGCUAGGGGAGCGAAUGGGAUUAGAUACCCCAGUAGUC
rnacentral:rRNA from 1 species